rnacentral:rRNA from 1 species
UACGAAGGGGGCUAGCGUUGUUCGGAUUUACUGGGCGUAAAGGGCGCGUAGGCUGCGCUGUAAGUCAGGCGUGAAAGCCCCGGGCUCAACCUGGGAAUUGCGCUUGAUACUGCGGCGCUGGAAGGUGGGAGAGGAUGGCGGAAUUCCCAGUGUAGAGGUGAAAUUCGUAGAUAUUGGGAAGAACACCGGUGGCGAAGGCGGCGCUCUGGACCGAGACUGACGCUGAGGCGCGAAAGCGUGGGGAGCAAACAGG